rnacentral:rRNA from 1 species
UACGUAUGGUGCAAGCGUUAUCCGGAUUUACUGGGCGUAAAGGGAGCGCAGGCGGUGCGCCAAGUCUGAUGUGAAACCCCGGGGCUCAACCCCGGGCAUGCAUUGGAAACUGGCGGGCUGGAGUGCCGGAGAGGCAAGCGGAAUUCCUAGUGUAGCGGUGAAAUGCGUAGAUAUUAGGAGGAACACCAGUGGCGAAGGCGGCUUACUGGACGGCAACUGACGCUGAGGCUCGAAAGCGUGGGGAGCAAACAGG